GAUGAACGCUAGCUACAGGCUUAACACAUGCAAGUCGAGGGGAAACGAUAUUGGAAGCUUGCUUCCGAUAGGCGUCGACCGGCGCACGGGUGAGUAACGCGUAUCCAACCUGCCCACCACUUGGGGAUAACCUUGCGAAAGUAAGACUAAUACCCGAUGAUAUCCCUAGAAGACAUCUGAAAGGGAUUAAAGAUUUAUCGGUGAUGGAUGGGGAUGCGUCUGAUUAGCUUGUUGGCGGGGUAAACGGCCCACCAAGGCGACGAUCAGUAGGGGUUCUGAGAGGAAGGUCCCCCCACAUUGGAACUGAGACACGGUCCAAACGUCCUACGGGAGGCAGCAGUGAGGAAUAUUGGUCAAUGGGCGAGAGCCUGAACCAGCCAAGUAGCGUGCAGGAAGACGGGCCCCUAUGGGUUGUAAACUGCUUUUAUAGGGGAAUAAAGUGAGCCACGUGUGGCUUUUUGCAUGUACCCUAUGAAUAAGGACCGGCUAAUUCCGUG
rnacentral:rRNA from 1 species